GAUGAACGCUAGCGGCAGGCCUAACACAUGCAAGUCGAGGGAGGAGCUUUCGGGCUUCGACCGGCGUACGGGUGCGUAACGCGUAUACAAUCUGCCUUUCACAUAGGGAUAGCCCGAAGAAAUUUGUAUUAAUACCUAAUGGUAUAUAGAGGUGGCAUCACCUUUAUAUUAAAGCUGAGUCGGUGAAAGAUGGGUAUGCGUUCUAUUAGCUAGUUGGAGAGGUAACGGCUCCCCAAGGCGACGAUAGAUAGGGGUUCUGAGAGGGAUAUCCCCCACACUGGUACUGCGAUACGGACCAGACUCCUACGGGACGCAGCAGUGAGGACUAUUGGACAAUGGUCGGAAGCCUGAUCCAGCCAUGCCGCGUGCAGGAAGACGGCCUUAUGGGUUGUAAACUGCUUUUGCAGGGGAAGAAUAAGGACUACGCGUAGUUUGAUGACGGUACUCUGCGAAUAAGCAUCGGCUAACUCCGUG
rnacentral:rRNA from 1 species